UGGUGGAGUGAUUUGUCUGGUUUAUUCCGAUAACGAACGAGACUCUGGCCUACUAACUAGUACUUAGAUUCUAUGUCUGAUUGUACUUCUUAGAGGGACAAGCAGUGCUCAGCUGCAUGAGAAAGAGCAAUAACA
rnacentral:rRNA from 1 species